CCCUCUUCCUCUUCUCCCUCUCCUUCCUCUUCUCCCUCACCUUCUUCUUCCUCUUCCUCUUCUUCCUCCACUCCUGACCCGAACAAAGGCCUGGGGUUGAAGGAGAUGGGAGAGGGAGGAGUGGGAAAGAUAUUGGUGUACAAGAGUGGGAAAGUCAAA
rnacentral:ribozyme from 1 species